CAGCGUUCCAGUGCUGUGCACAUGUCCAUGUCCGCCGUAAGGAAACAUAAAAGCAAAGAGACAUCUAAAACUACAAAUUUAGAGAAGGAAUAUGCUGAAGUCGAAAAUAGUCUGCAGAUACCAAAUUUGGCUGCUUUAAUAAGUGCGCUGAAAGAGCCAUGUAAAUCAGGUAGCUUACACG